GAUGAACGCUGGCGGCGUGCCUAAUACAUGCAAGUCGAGCGAACGGACGAGAAGCUUGCUUCUCUGAUGUUAGCGGCGGACGGGUGAGUAGCACGUGGAUAACCUACCUAUAAGACUGGGAUAACUUCGGGAAACCGUAGCUAAUACCGGAUAAUAUUUUGAACCGCAUGGUUCAAAAGUGAAAGACGGUCUUGCUGUCACUUAUAGAUGGAUCCGCGCUGCAUUAGCUAGUUGGUAAGGUAACGGCUUACCAAGGCAACGAUGCAUAGCCGACCUGAGAGGGUGAUCGGCCACACUGGAACUGAGACACGGUCCAGACUCCUACGGGAGGCAGCAGUAGGGAAUCUUCCGCAAUGGGCGAAAGCCUGACGGAGCAACGCCGCGUGAGUGAUGAAGGUCUUCGGAUCGUAAAACUCUGUUAUUAGGGAAGAACAUAUGUGUAAGUAACUGUGCACAUCUUGACGGUACCUAAUCAGAAAGCCACGGCUAACUACGUG
rnacentral:rRNA from 1 species